rnacentral:rRNA from 1 species
UACAGAGACCUCAAGCGUUAUCCGGAAUCAUUGGGCGUAAAGCGUACCGAUAGGUGGUCAUGGUAGUUUUGGGUAAAAGCCAGAAGCUCAACUUCUGCGUUUGCUCAAAAUACUCCACGACUAGAGGGGCAAAGAGGAGACUGGAACGAACGGUGUAGUAGUGAAAUGCGUUGAUAUCGUUCGGAACACCGAAAGCGAAGGCAGGUCUCUGGGUGCCUCCUGACACUGCUAGGACGAAAGCGUGGGGAGCGAAUGGG